AUUAGAAUAGUGAGAGAACCAAAAACUAACCAUGAGAAGUGUCCUGCACUAAUGUUGUUUAAUGCAAACUGAUUGUUAUUCUAUUUUUCAAAUAAGUUGUAGUAGAUUUGAGGAGCUGAGCAAGUUAUCAUUGCAGAUGAUUUUAAUGAAGGCUACUUCAAGUUCUUGGCGAUAGAUGGUUCGAGUGUCUCAGCUUCAUCAUUACAGACAUGAAAAAAGAAGCCUGACUGAGAAGAUGAACAUGCUGGAAACACAGUUGACUAGUGUGGAGAAAGGAGAAUGUUGGAGCAGAUAGGUUGAUUUUCCCUUCCCUCUCUUUAUACUCUAGUCUAUUUAUCCUUUAAGGCCACUCUCACAAAAGCACAAACUUUACAAUACAUUUGUGUAUCAAGCACAAUCACCUAUUGCUCUUGUCUUUUUUUUUUUUUAAAGAUUUUAUUUAUUCAUUCAUGAGAGACAGAGAGAGAGGCAGAAACAAAGGCAGAGGGAGAAGCAGGCUCCAUGCAGGGAGCCCGAUGCGGGAUCCGAUUCUGGGACCCUAGGAUCACACCCCGGGGCCAAAGGUAGGCACGAAACUGCUGAGCCACCCAGGCUGCCCUGCUCUUAUCUUCUUACGAGAACAUUAUAUGUUCAUUGCCAGAAGGAGGAAAAAUAGAAAAAGUAAUCAUAGAUAAGCAACAAGAGAAACAUAGAAAACAUCAUCACUAUCUUUAAUUCAGUGCCCCCACUUCUCAUGCCUAUUCUUUUCUUUACUGUUUCAUAAAAAAUUUUAAUUUCAAAAUAUCAAUAUAAAUAUUCAUUUUCACAAAAAUAUGAUCAUGUUAAACAUAAUUUUUUGCAAAAUAUUUUCUUUCAUACAAUGAUUAUGUGAAGGCAGCAGAGUGUCAAGAGAGGCAGAUACUGGAAGGUGAAGCCCACAGAUUCUACAGACACACUACCUGGUGUUGCAUCCUGGCUCUGCUGGGGACUAGCUGUGUGAUCCUGCACAAGGAUGUCAUUGCUCUGCUUUGUCUUCUGUAAAAUGGACAUAAUAACAUCGUUAUAUUAUACUAACAUUUUAUACUGUAUUAUAUUACAUAAUGUUAUGAGGAUUAAAUGACAUUUCUUUUGAAGUGCUUAGAACAGUGUACAUAAUAAUCAUAUAUAAGUAUAUACAAUUUAUUUAAUCAAAAUCUCUUGGUAGGUAUUUAAAUUAUUACCACUUUUCUAUUAUAUUGCCAAUUUCAUAAUGGAGAUAGAUUUUUGCAUGUGUCUUUACACAUUUGUCCAAUUUUCUUGAGAUAAAUUCCUAGAAAUAAAAUUAUUGUGUCCAAGGAUAUGCA
rnacentral:lncRNA from 12 species